CAAGAAAUAAGAUCGUAAAUUGGUAAAAGCGAGAGAAACAUUUUAUUAUUUUCAAUUUUCGGUUUAAUUCUCGUUAUUUCGUGUUCGCCGGCAGAGUGUCGUUUCGCAAUCGGCGGCAGCGGCGGCGACGACGAUGUUCUCUUUCCUUUUGAGACGAACAAUAGAGCUUGCGACGUCAGACGUCGUGUCUUAUGAUCACCGGUUUCUCUAAGGCACUAUAGCUUUAGUGCCUUAGUUUCUCUAUCUGUUUAGCUAAAUUUUCCUUCUUUUUCAAGUUACUCUUAAUUUUUCGAGAUUGCGAUGGUUUUUUCACUUACAAUUAGGUCUACGUACAUAUAGGUAGUGAAUUUGUUUUUAAUGAAUUACGUCGUACAUCCGGUGUUUGAUAUUGGACUUCCCUGUGAGAAUGUGUUUCCCAAAGAGCCAAGAGAGGAAAAUCUGGAGUAUCUUGAGUACGAUUUUAUUGUGAACGAAUACCACUCUUGAAACCGAAAUGAGAAGAAUUUGAUGACUGACGACUGUUCAUUUCUUAUUCAAGAUGAACGUUGGGCUACCUGGUGCAUUCCUCCAACUUUGAGCAUUUUUGUGAAAGAAAGAAAACGCGAAUAAAUGGAUAUGGAUAUUCGACAUCGCGGAUUUCCGAAUUGAUGUACACAUAAGUAUGUUGGACUACUUGCUACGAAAUGGAAGGAUAUUCGACGUUGAAUUUUUAAAUUGCGUACGCGAGAUAUUUCCCCUCCCUCCGAAGAUGAAUUGGACGCGAUUUUUGGAAUUUCUGCUAGGAUUGGAUUGGAUCGGGUAUUGUCUUGGCAGUUAUAGGCGAAUUAGCGGUCGUCAUUGUCCGUCGGUGAUGGUCACUAAUUGAAGUGCCUCCGCAUGAUUGUGGAUGACGGAUAUGAGCCGGAUGAUUGGUCAACGUGGCGACUUACUCAGAUGGACUUCCUGACACGAAUUGUGCUUCCGUGCUGGUGGAUGCUGAUUUUGUUGCGUAUCCGAGCCGUGGCAAGAUCACCAAAGGUAUUCCACCUGGCCAUUCUCCAAUCCGGUCAGCUUGGGUACGGUUGGAGAGAAAGUCUGCUAUAUAGUCUGUGUUAGUUGGGGUUGAAAUUUAUACGUGGUUUUUCUGUCGAAAAUUUCUGAAUUUUGUCUCGCUUUUUUAUUUUUUAUUUAUUUAUUUUUUUCAAUUCAAUCAUUAUUUUUGGCUUCAUAUUUUCUUACAUUCUUCUCCCGUGUCUCUAUAAAAGGUGUAAACAAUUUUUACGGGUUGGUUUCAAUAUGUAUAAGGCAAGUAUGGCGUGCGAGUUUUCUAUGUAAAUUUCAUUUUUUCCAUUUUUUUAUUUAUUUUUUUUUCAUUAAAGUUGACCCUGUGCAUAACUUAUGUCCAACUUUACCAGAUCGUCUCGGUGGCCCAAGGGAAUUGUCGCCGGCGGGCCUGUGGAGUACUGGUAAUGCAAAAUUACACUUUUUUUUCUGCACAUUCUCUUGAUAUUCGCGAAAAGAUCGCAACUUUCGAGUGGAGGAGUUGCGCAACCGGCUCAUGUCUUGGACGUUAUGGCGUAGCCUCCGCGUGUCCCAUGAGAUCCCACUCCCUCAGCAGCAACAGUCUGGAUAAGCCAACUUUACCGCUUCGCAAUGCCAUUAAUCGGGUUGGCGGUAAUGCAAAAAGCUGCACUUUAGGUUUUUGGACCGCGCGUAAAGAUCGCUACGCUCGAGGGAAGACGUAGCGCAGGUUCUCCUGGACGUACCCGGUAUCGAUACUGGCGCGGGUUCCUUGAGAAAUCCUCUUCCCUCAACCCAUUCACAGUCCUUUGGGUGGGGUACUAUUCUUGUUCAUGAUGAUGCGUGAAGGGGUAAAGUAUGACGGACUUUGCCAAGAUGGAGAUCUAUAAAUACUGAGACUACUGUAUCCUGUUUCGAUUAUGACGACGUCUGAAAAUCUCACCUGAAGAUCUGAUUUUCAUCGAUGAUCUGCAUCUUUCGAUUCGAAUUGAAGCUCGCGAUUGAAAACUGCACCACGGAUCUUGUUAAACAACGAUAUCAUCGAUAUGACCAUCAUGCUACAUUUUUGUUGAAAUUUUCUACACGCAACAAGUGUUCGCGAUGCUGCAUCCGCAGAGAGAGACGGCUGUAAUUCGAUCUUUCGAUUCCAAAGCCCAAAAUACCGAAUUCGCAAGAAUUUCAAUAUGUUUGAUGUAAUGCCGGUAUCUACUCGUUAUUUUACCUCAUCGUUGAAAUGCGCAUUUUUUGGAAGAAAGGAAAGCUGAAUAUUUUCCACCUCAUAUUAUCGAAUUGGAGGCGAAGACAGGCCCUGCAGAUCUAAGAAUGGAAUUCAGCUGCAGACCCUACCGAAACGUGUGAUACAAUCAUCAACUCAUAGUCAGCUCCAGAAUACGAGUACCUAUUCUCCGGCUUCGAACGUGUAACGUCUUAUUACGUAUGUAAUUUUUGUGAUCUCAAUAUCUCUCGCCUCCCUCCCGCCCCUCCAGUUUCAAUUUUACGCGAUCAGCUUUCGACAGAACAAUACUAGUGGCGAUUUUAUUCAGCAGAACCAGCAUUUUUUAACCGAGCUUCAAGAAGCACUUUUUUGAUGAUAAUAAUGCAAUGUUUGUAAAUGGAACUUGUCGCUCCCCCCUCUCCGUGCAUCGCAGCACUUGGUACACGUACAAUAGACGCAUAACAGCGAUGAAUAAUUUUUUGAGAAGUGCAUGUAGACAAACUAUAGCUCGGAGAAUGAUAUUCUUACACGCAAUUUUCAUGCUGUGCGAAUUUUUUGAAUGGUUAUAUGCUCAAUGCUCAUACUUACGCGUACGAAUUUGUGAAUAUGAUUGUGCGCUCAACUAUACCUGAUAUUUGAUGAUUGAAAUGAUUCGAUUGGAAAAGCUGUAUGGUUAUUCCCUGAAAAUGGAAUACGUAGUUUCAUAUUAUUGAGAACUUGCACGAACGUUCGCUGAUUUGUUUACAUCGAUUUGCGCAGAUAUUCAACGUUUGUUUUUUCAAUCGAUGGAAGAAUAUUGUCGAUGUAUUGGAAUUUCUUAGAGCUCGACGUACGAUACGAGUAGAUAUUUUUACGCUUUAUUUAGGUAGUUUAUGGCGCAAGGCUGACUCGCGACAACACUCAUCGCAGUACCGGAACUUUUUUUCUGAUUCGAAAACGAUGAUUUUCUUUGAUUUGGUCCCCCCCCUCCUAUUCAUUAUCUUGGCUCGAAAAAUGAUGAUAUUUUUGAGGAAAUUGAUGUAGGGAAUGAUGCUGAGGGCAUUCCUGUGAAAGUUUGAUGAAUUAGGUGAUGCUUUUGUCUAUUUUUUUCUGAGUGGAGUAGUUAGAUUUUUUUUGAAGGCUUCUCUCUUCAUUAAGAUUAUAUGGGUGAAUAGGGAUGCUAUUUUAGGAUAGGUACACAACGAUAUUCGUUUCGAACAAUUAUUAUUUGUGGCUUUAGUUUUUUGACUUUGAUCAAACCAGUUAUAUUUUGAUUUUUUAUUUUUUUUAUUUUUUUGAAAAUUGGAUAGGCAUUUGAUGAUUUUGGAUUCAAAAUUGGGAAAAUGUUGAAUGGUUUGACUAUUUUCAAAAUUCAUUGUAGGUAUAAGUUGAGCGCCGAUGUUGGUAUCUGGUCAACCUGGAGACCUCACAACAUCGGAAGAGACCCGGAGGGUUUUGCGAUGCCUACUGCGACCGCCCCCGGCAUCCGGGACUCCAUGACGGCAUGGUAGGGUCGCAUUAAACGAAGGGUAAAGAGGGAUGGUAGAUGUUACACGUUUAACUGGAUGUCUAACAUUGUUCGAAUCGCAAGUCGAAAGGUCUUUUCAUCGUCGGUGGCGUUCUUUGGUAUCUCGUGUACGACUUUUUCCUUCAAAAACACACUGGCGUGUGAUUUUUGGAGCGAACGAGUCGUAUACGAGUUAUCCGAGGCGUCGUCGGCGAUUUGUGGUGCGUGAAAGUGCGUGUGUCGAAGCUGUAGGGUCUGUCCCAGGCGAUAGCAGGCCGUGAAAACGGAGCAGUUUGGUUAGCAUGCUAAAUUAGUCGCAACCGUAAGCCGAUGUCGGGCUGAACAUUGUGCAAAGUCUUUCGUGUCUGGAAGCUGGCAUCUGCUGCGCCGUGUAGGAGGUGCGUGAUGAAGUGUGCGUGAAGUUGGCGAAGGCUUCAAAAUAGGCAUAUGGGGUAAGAUUCGAGACAAGUCCGCAAGAACGGUACAUUUUGGUACAUAGGGGGCUUGCUCGGCGCCUCAAUAUUGGUACGGGCCAGAGGUUGGUGCGUACGGCCCUCCGAGUCGACAGAGCUCGGACUGCCCUUGUAGCCGUCCUAGGCGAGGUUAGGGUAGAAAUCCGUGCGCCGUCUACUUGCUUACUGCUUCCCGGCGGUACACGUGCCGACCGGGGUUUUUACAGGAUCGGGCUUAUCAAAGAGGAUGUAGGCUGGCGCCUUUCAGGCGGUCUGAUAUCACUUCGUACGAGUGUAACUUUUAUUCCUACGCCGAGGUCAGCGUGUUGUAAAUUUUACACUCGUACGAAGUUAUAACUGACCUGUCUGCGGGGUCAGCUAUGUACCUUGCCUUGAGGAUCAAGUUCAGCCUAUCCCGCAGUGUUGGCGCUUUGGUCGAAUGCCCGUGAAACUCAUGAAGCAUUCAACAGCACUGCCCGUGGUGAGUGUAGGGAAUUUGAGAUACUGUUCCGGAGAGUUGGGCCCGACAAAGGGUUCGAUUGUCUGGACUGUUGAGAGUGCGAGAAGAGCGAGUGUCGAUCUGGAUUUUUAUGCUUUGUUAGAAUCUAGUUAAACGUGUAGUGUCUUUCCGUCAUCGUAUUGGUGGAGAAAUAAUCAAAAAUUGGUGUAUUAAAACGAUUAGCAUCGAACUUUCUGCAGGAAUGUGUUUUAGUCAUCAUUGGUCGGAUGGGAGAUGACUGGGGUUCGAUUUUGGUACUGAGUUAAGAGUCAGGUACAGGUGAGUCGUUACUGUGUUACGUAUUAUGAGUUAGUUUAUAUACCAGUUGAUUCAGGUGAGUGGUUAUUUUAUUACUUAUUGAUUAAGAUUAGUUUAUUUGCGUCAAAUUUGAGAAAUGAGACAAGUGACGAGCGAAAUUGUAGAGCAUUGACGCUGUUUCACGAUGAAAUUUGUCGAGAAAUUGAAAUUAGGACCCCCCCCCCUUGCCCCUUUAGUUUUAAUGUACGUAUAUCAUGUUUAUAUUGUAUCAUUUCUGUUUGUUUGUUUGUGUUUUUUUUUUGAAAAUUGUAUCAUAUUACUUGUUAUUAUUAAACUCGUGUAUUUUUGUAAUGACCAAUCACGGUUUUUCACUGUCGAGCGGCCGGCAGUGUUUUUUAUUCCAGAUUGGUCAACGUGUUGUAGAAUUAAGUUUGUAUUGAUUUCUUUGCCGUUGAAAAAUUGAAACGAUUUUCGUUU